rnacentral:rRNA from 1 species
GAUGAACGCUAGCGGCAGGCUUAACACAUGCAAGUCGAGGGGCAUCGGGUGAUGAUAACAUUAUGCCGGCGACCGGCGAACGGGUGCGUAACGCGUGAGAAACAUACCUAUUACAGGAGGAUAAACUUUGGAAACGAGGCCUAAUACUCCAUGUUAUUAGUAUAAGGCAUCAUAUAUUACUAAAAGCGCAUAAGCGGUAAUAGAUUGUCUCGCGUGACAUUAGCUAGAUGGAAAGGUAACGGCUUCCCAUGGCAACGAUGUCUAGGGGUUCUGAGAGGAAGAUCCCCCACACUGGUACUGAGACACGGACCAGACUCCUACGGGAGGCAGCAGUGAGGAAUAUUGGACAAUGGAUGGAAAUCUGAUCCAGCCAUGCCGCGUGCAGGACACAGCCCUAUGGGUUUUCAACUGCUUUUGUAUUGGAGCAAUAAACUGUACGAGUACAGAGAUGAGCGUACAAUACGAAUCAGCAUCGGCUAACUCCGUGCCAGCAGCCGCGGUAAUACGGAGGAUGCAAGCGUUAUCCGGAUUUAUUGGGUUUAAAGGGUGCGUAGGCUGUUUAUUAAGUCAGUGGUGAAAUGCUAAUGCUUAACAUUGGAACUGCCAUUGAAACUGAUAAGCUAGAAUUUGGAUGCUGUUAGCGGAAUGUGUAAUGUAGCGGUGAAAUGCAUAGAUAUUACCCAGAACGUCGAUUGCGAAGGCAGCUAACAAAACCAUAAUUGACGCUGAUGCACGAAAGUGUGGGGAUCAAACAGGAUUAGAUACCCUGGUAGUCCACACUGUAAACGAUGAUAACUAUCUGUUGGCGAUAUACAGUCAGUGGACCAGCGAAAGCGAUAAGUUAUCCACCUGGGGAGUACGACCGCAAGGUUGAAACUCAAAGGAAUUGACGGGGGCCCGCACAAGCGGAGGAACAUGUGGUUUAAUUCGAUGAUACGCGAGGAACCUUACCCGGGCUCGAACGGCUGAUGUAUGUGCAAGAGAUUGCACAGUUAGUAAUAACAUUAGUCGAGGUGCUGCAUGGUUGUCGUCAGCUCGUGCCGUGAGGUGUCGGCUUAAGUGCCAUAACGAGCGCAACCCUUGUUGUCAGUUACCAUCAGGUAGUGCUGGGGACUCUGACAAGACUGCCACCGUAAGGUGAGAGGAAGGUGGGGAUGACGUCAAAUCAGCACGGCCCUUACGUCCGGGGCGACACACGUGUUACAAUGGUAGGUACAGAUUGCAGCGAAACAGCAAUGUUAAGCCAAUCACAAAAAACCUAUCUCAGUUCGGAUUGAAGUCUGCAACUCGACUUCAUGAAGUUGGAUUCGCUAGUAAUCGCGCAUCAGCCAUGGCGCGGUGAAUACGUUCCCGGGCCUUGUACACACCGCCCGUCAAGCCAUGGGAGCUGGGGGUGCCUGAAGUUCGUGGCCGCAAGGAGCGACCUAGGGCAAAACUGGUGACUGGGGC